CACGUAGGAUCCAAGCGUUAUCCGGAUUUACUGGGCGUAAAGCGCGUGCAGGUGGUUUGCAAAGUUGGAUGUUAAAUCUCCCGGCUCAACUGGGAGUUGUCGUUCAAAACUAGCAGACUAGAGGACGGUAGAGGGAGGUGGAAUUCCGGGUGUAGUGGUGAAAUGCGUAGAUAUCCGGAGGAACACCAGUGGCGAAGGCGGCCUCCUGGCCCGCUCCUGACACUAAGACGCGAAAGCUAGGGGAGCGAACGGG
rnacentral:misc_RNA from 1 species